rnacentral:rRNA from 1 species
UACGUAGGGUGCGAGCGUUGUCCGGAAUUACUGGGCGUAAAGAGCUCGUAGGUGGUUUGUCGCGUUGUUCGUGAAAACUCAGAGCUCAACUGUGGGCGUGCGGGCGAUACGGGCAGACUGGAGUACUGCAGGGGAGACUGGAAUUCCUGGUGUAGCGGUGGAAUGCGCAGAUAUCAGGAGGAACACCGGUGGCGAAGGCGGGUCUCUGGGCAGUAACUGACGCUGAGGAGCGAAAGCGUGGGGAGCGAACAGG